GUAGGUGGCAAGCGUUGUCCGGAAUUAUUGGGCGUAAAGCGCGCGCAGGUGGUUCUUUAAGUCUGAUGUGAAAGCCCCCGGCUCAACCGGGGAGGGUCAUUGGAAACUGGGGAACAUGAGUGCAGGAGAGGAAAGUGGAAUUCCACGUGUAGCGGUGAAAUGCGUAGAUAUGUGGAGGAACACCAGUGGCGAAGGCGACUUUCUGGCCUGUAACUGACACUGAGGCGCGAAAGCGUGGGGAGCAAACAGGGAUUAGAUACCCUGGUAGUCCACGCCGUAAACGAUGAGUGCUAAGUGUUGGGGGGGUUUCCCGCCCCUCAGUGCUGCAGCUAACGCAUUAAGCACUCCGCCUGGGGAUACGGUCGCAAGACUG
rnacentral:rRNA from 1 species